rnacentral:rRNA from 1 species
GUGCCAGCAGCCGCGGUAAUACAGAGGGUGCAAGCGUUAAUCGGAAUUACUGGGCGUAAAGCGUGCGUAGUCGGCUUUUUAAGUCGGGUGUGAAAUCCCCGGGCUCAACCUGGGAAUUGCAUUCGAUACUGGAUCGCUAGAGUUCGGCAGAGGGAAGCGGAAUUUCGGGUGUAGCGGUGAAAUGCGUAGAUAUCCGAAGGAACAUCAGUGGCGAAGGCGGCUUCCUGGACCAGAACUGACGAUCAGGCACGAAAGCGUGGGGAGCAAACAGGAUUAGAAACCCGGGUAGUCC